AGAGUUUGAUCCUGGCUCAGAUUGAACGCUGGCGGCGUGCUUAAACAUGCAAGUCGAACGAUGAACCUAGCUUGCUAGGGGAUUAGUGGCGCACGGGUGAGUAAUAUAUAGAUAACGUGCCUCUUAGUCUGGGAUAGCCAUUGGAAACGAUGAUUAAUACUAGAUACUCCUUCUCAUUCUAAUAUGAGUCGGGAAAGUUUUUUCGCUAAGAGAUCGGUCUAUAUCCCAUCAGCUUGUUGGUAGUGUAAGAGACUACCAAGGCUAUGACGGGUAGCGGGUUUGAGAGGAUGAUCCGAGACACGGACCAGACUCCUACGGGAGGCAGCAGUGAGGAAUAUUGCACAAUGGAGGAAACUCUGAUGCAGCAACGCCGCGUGGAGGAUGACGCAUUUCGGUGUGUAAACUCCUUUUAUGAGUCAAGAAAAUGACGGUAGCUCAUGAAUAAGCACCGGCUAACUCCGUGCCAGCAGCCGCGGUAAUACGGAGGGUGCAAGCGUUAUUCGGAAUCACUGGGCGUAAAGGACGCGUAGGCGGGAAGCCAAGUCUGAUGUGAAAUCCUAUGGCUUAACCAUAGAACUGCAUUGGAAACUGGUUACCUAGAGUAUGGGAGGGGGAGAUGGAAUUAAAUCCGUAGAUAUCACUAGGAAUACCGAAAGCGAAGGCGAUCUCCUGGAACAAUACUGACGCUAAGGCGUGAAAGCGUGGGGAGCAAACGGGAUUAGAUACCCCGGUAGUCCACGCCCUAAACGAUGUUCACUAGUCGUCGGGAUGCUAGUCAUCUCGGUGAUGCACUUAACAGAUUAAGGAACCGCCUGGA
rnacentral:rRNA from 1 species